AUUGAACGCUGGCGGCAGGCCUAACACAUGCAAGUCGAGCGGAGUUUUCGGACCUAGCGGCGGACGGGUGAGUAAUGCGUAGGAAGCUGCCCGAUAGAGGGGGAUACCAGUUGGAAACGACUGGUAAUACCGCAUAAUGUCUACGGACCAAAGUGUGGGACCUUCGGGCCACAUGCUAUCGGAUGCGCCUACGUGGGAUUAGCUAGUUGGUGAGGUAAUGGCUCACCAAGGCGACGAUCUCUAGCUGGUUUGAGAGGAUGAUCAGCCACACUGGAACUGAGGCACGGUCCAGACUCCUACGGGAGGCAGCAGUGGGGAAUAUUGGACAAUGGGCGCAAGCCUGAUUCAGCCAUGCCGCGUGUGUGAAGAAGGCCUUCGGGUUGUAAAGCACUUUCAGCGAGGAGGAAGGGUGGUGUGUUAAUAGCACAUCAUUUUGACGUUACUCGCAGAAGAAGCACCGGCUAACUCUGUGCCAGCAGCCGCCGUAA
rnacentral:rRNA from 1 species